AUUGAACGCUGGCGGCAGGCCUAACACAUGCAAGUCGAGCGGAUGAAGGGAGCUUGCUCCUGGAUUCAGCGGCGGACGGGUGAGUAAUGCCUAGGAAUCUGCCUGGUAGUGGGGGAUAACGUCCGGAAACGGGCGCUAAUACCGCAUACGUCCUGAGGGAGAAAGUGGGGGAUCUUCGGACCUCACGCUAUCAGAUGAGCCUAGGUCGGAUUAGCUAGUUGGUGGGGUAAAGGCCUACCAAGGCGACGAUCCGUAACUGGUCUGAGAGGAUGAUCAGUUACACUGGAACUGAGACACGGUCCAGACUCCUACGGGAGGCAGCAGUGGGGAAUAUUGGACAAUGGGCGAAAGCCUGAUCCAGCCAUGCCGCGUAUGUGAAGAAGGUCUUCGGAUUGUAAAGCUCUUUCAGUUGGGAGGAAGGGCAGUAAGUUAAUACCUUGCUGUUUUGACGUUACCAACAGAAUAAGCACCGGCUAACUUCGUG
rnacentral:rRNA from 1 species